UGUUGGAAGCUAAUGGGAAUCAUGCAAAUCAAAUGCUAUAUGAAUUUAAAAGUUACGUUUCGGAAAGACUCUAACCAGGCUGUACUGGGAGUCAAAAACCCCUGGAAGAAGUCAAUGGCAGAUCACUACCAUACUGUUGUGAAAUAAAUUUCAUGGAUGCGUUGAGCUUCACUUGAAGAAGAUUUUGGCUACACUGAAAAUUCUUCUGCCUAGCAGAACUUGAUACUGCUGUUCCCCCCAUCCGCAUCCCCCUAAUCAAACAACACAUUAUUUGUCCAGGACAGAAAAUCAAAACUAUUAAACCAUUUACAAUGCA